CCCUACGGGGCGCAGCAGUGAGGAAUAUUGGUCAAUGGUCGGGAGACUGAACCAGCCAAGCCGCGUGAGGGAGGAAGGUACAGAGUAUCGUAAACCUCUUUUGUCAGGGAACAAAGACUGGGACGCGUCCCCGGAUGAGUGUACCUGAAGAAAAAGCAUCGGCUAACUACGUGCCAGCAGCCGCGGUAAUACGUAGGGGGCAAGCGUUAUCCGGAUUUACUGGGUGUAAAGGGAGCGUAGGCGGCUGUGUAAGCCAGAAGUGAAAGCCCGAGGCUCAACCACGGGACUGCUUUUGGAACUACAUG
rnacentral:rRNA from 1 species